UACGUAGGAUGCAAGCGUUGUCCGGAUUCACUGGGUUUAAAGGGUGCGUAGGUGGGUUGGUAAGUCAGUGGUGAAAUCUCCGGGCUUAACCUGGAAACUGCCAUUGAUACUAUCAAUCUUAAUACCUUGGAGGUGAGCGGAAUAUGUCAUGUAGCGGUGAAAUGCUUAGAUAUGACAUAGAACACCAAUUGCGAAGGCAGCUCACUACACGGUCAUUGACACUGAGGCACGAAAGCGUGGGGGAUCAAAACAGGG
rnacentral:rRNA from 1 species